UAAACUAAUUGGACACCAAGAUAAGUUUUUUGUUUCAGAUUCGUAUUUUUGUUCGUCUUUAUUUGCAAUAUGUGUCGAUGAAAUGCCUAUUGAUGGUGUUGCUGUAGGCACGAUUCAUGAAGACAUGAUUGAUAUGGCUUUUCAAACUGUAAGUGGAGUUUACGAGAGUGGUUGGUCUGAAAAAGGAGGCGGAUGAUUUCUAUAACUAGAACAUGGUCAAGAUAUGGUACUGUGAUGGUGCAUCUUUACUGGGCACCCUGAAAGCGGGCGAAAAGUACUUUCUUUUUCUUUUUGUAAACUAUGGAUUUUCUUUCAAGUAUGGCAGUUUAGCAUUUGUAGGGUAUAUGGGUUGGAUCGGCUCCCUUAGCUGAUGGGUUUCCUUCUCUAUUUGCACAAUAAUAGCAAACAUGGAUGGCAAACAUAUAUGUUUUUCCUCAUAAGAGCUCACUACGCCAAUAAUAACAAACAUGGAUGGCUUUUGGCUGGUUGGAUGAAAGUCGAGAAUGUAACCGAAGCCAUUUCUAUACUGAAACCAAAUGGAGAUGAUGUCAGCAGUGGUAUAUGUGCUUCGUUGCGCUAGACUUUGACUCAGUUUCGUCUUGCAAAUGGUUAUGCUGCUCUCAGAGAGAGACGCUCUAAGCUCUGCAAGUGUUGGAUUACAAAGGGGUCCAAAUAAUAGUACGGGUCAAAACGGGUAUGCUAGAAUAAGAUUGCAGUUCGAAAAUUUAUUUGCUUUGUUUGGAAAGCGGUCAACGACAACACUCGGACGACUAUGGCCCUUGCGGCGAAGGGUGACGCCUAUGUAGAUGGGAAAUUUUUUAUGUGUGGAUAUAAGGGAGGAGACUGCAGAUCAUUUACUUGCAAAUUAUAUAAGUACUAGAGCGAUAUGGUGGCAUAUGUGUUUGGACUAAAGUCCCAAUGCCUGGCUGUUUUGAUUUUGUGAACUUUAUGCUAGAGAAUGCUCUUAAAGUUUACGAACCAGCAAAGGAGAAACCUAUUAUCUAUGUAGCCUUCUUGAUGACCAUUUGGAAGAUGUGGAUGCAUCUAAAUGACAAGGUUUUUAGAAGAAAAGCCUGUUCUAAUGCAAAAGUUUUGGAGGAGAUAAAGCUAGGGAUGCACUAAUGGUUGGUAAGACGACACAAAUUUGCGGUUCUGUCCUUGGAGCGCUGGAACAAUGUUGAUGUUGGUUUAUAACACUACAUUGGAUUUUAGCUUUGUUUUUUGUUAUGUUUGUGUAUUUUUGUGUUUUUUAUUGGGGCUGUAUCCUCUGUCUUAGCUUCUGGCUAAGAUUGAGUUUGUGAGGUUUUGUAAUAAAUUGAUCUCCUUUGCUUGAUCACAAAAAAGAUAUGUUAUUAAAUAUUAUGUUUGUUACUAUUAAUUAAUUAA